rnacentral:rRNA from 1 species
AGCGCAGGACAUUACUGA